CUUUCCCCUCCUUCCUCUAAGAUCUCCCUCUUCCACUCGCCCUCUCAUUAGAGCUGCUGAAUUAUUUAACAUCAGACAGUGGGCUUGGCUGCUGAGCCAGAAGGAGAUGAAGAGGAGAGGAGGAAAAGCUGGAGAGACGGAGAAGCAUGGAGGUGUCCGAUACUGCGGGAAGUCGUGAGUCAGCAGGGAGAGAAAGGAGCAGUGGGAGGGAGGAGUGAAGGAGUUUAUAGAUAGCUUUAGGUGAUACGACAGGAGAGAGUGGCGUCAAAUGCCUCCCGGUGCGUUUGUGUCCGUGUUUGUGCAUGCGCGCAUCGAUUGAGCGGAGAAGGUCAUGGAGCUGAGAGGAGAUUAGCAAACUAGACUCGGAGUAGGGGGAGCGCGGCAGCAGAGCUAACGCCUCCUCUGAAUAGCGCAGAAACAGGAGGGCUCAAUACAAAAAGGACAAGAGGAGCUGUUGCAGUAUGGGGGAGAGCUAUAUGUACCAGCGACUCCCCUACACCAGAGGAGAGGGGGAGGGGGAGGAUGAAGAGGCGGGAGACAGGAGUGUCGGUGGACAAAUGAUGCAGUGUGAGGAGGGCACAGAGUGGCUGCUGGAGCUGCUGACAGAUGUGCAGCUGCAGCAGUACUUCCUUCGGAUCCGUGAUGAUCUCAACGUCACACGACUCUCACACUUUGACUACGUCAAGAAUGAAGACCUGGAGAAGAUCGGCAUGGGACGCCCAGGUCAGAGGAGGCUCUGGGAGGCAGUCAAGAGGAGACGAGCCCUUUAUAAAAGAAAAUCCUGGAUGAGCAAGGUGUUUCCAGUGAAACGACCGGACGCUGACACACAGCAGCCCCACGGGGCAUCGUCUGCCGCGGCCCCGGCCAGUAGUGAGUCAGGGGCCGCGCUCACCUGCCUGAUUAGAGAGUCGGAGCUUCAGCUGUUUGAGCGGCUUGGAGACGGGACAUUCGGGGUGGUGCGGCGAGGAGAGUGGACUGCACCCAACGGCAGAGUGUUGUCAGUGGCAGUAAAAUGCCUGAAAUCAAAUGUACUGGACUCAGACGGUCUGGAUGAUUUCAUCAGAGAGGUGAAUGCCAUGCAUUCACUGAGCCACCAAAACCUCAUCCGCCUGUAUGGCAUCGUCCUCACACAGCCUAUGAAGAUGGUGACUGAGCUGGCUCCUCUGGGCUCCCUGUUGGAUCGGCUCAGAAAGCGGCAGGGUCACAUCCUCAUCUCCUCGCUGUGUAACUAUGGCGUGCAGGUGGCCUGUGGGAUGGCUUACCUGGAGCAGAAGCGUUUCCUCCACAGGGACCUCGCAGCCCGUAAUGUGCUGCUGUCCACCAAUGAAACUGUGAAGAUUGGAGACUUUGGCCUAAUGAGGGCACUGCCUAAACACACCGACCAAUACGUCAUGGAGGAAGGCCACAAAAUCCCUUUCCCAUGGUGUGCUCCAGAGUCUCUGAAGUCUCGCACUUUCUCUCACGCAUCUGACACCUGGAUGUUUGGGGUCACCCUUUGGGAGAUGUUCACCCACGGACAGGAGCCGUGGCUGGGUCUGAAUGGGAGCCAGAUCCUUCACAAGGUGGACGUGGAAGCUGAGAGGCUGUGUAAACCAGACGAUUGUCCUCAGGAUAUCUACAAUGUGAUGCUGCAGUGCUGGAGCCCCAAACCUGAAGACAGACCAACUUUCAUUGCCCUCAGAGACUUCCUGCUCGAGACCAUGCCCACAGAUAUGAGAGCCCUGCAGGACUUUGAGGAGGAAGACAAGCUCCAGAUUACAAUGAAUGAUGUUAUCACCAUCAUUGAAGGAAGGGCAGAGCACUACUGGUGGCGAGGUCAGAACAGGCGCACACUGCGUGUCGGUCAGUUUCCCCGUCAUGUAGUGACGUCAGUCGCCGGUCUUUCCGCCCAGGACAUCAGCCGGCCACUUAAACACUCUUUUAUACACACUGGACAUGGAGACACAGACCCCCAGAGGAGCUGGGGACACGCAGACCGCAUAGACAGCCUGUACUUGGGGAACCCCAUGGACCCUCCUGAUGUCCUGGGAAUGGAUUCAGGCAUUGCGAGACCGACCAAACUUCCCAACCGUGCCAAGAAGCUACCUCCCCCUCGUCCACCCCAACCUGCCGUUCUGCUCAAGAAGCCGUUCUACGACUCUGUGAUGGACGAUUACGAUGACGAGGAAGACGCCAGCGCGUCGUCUGGGUUGAAGAAGCUGGGAGCAUCCCUAGGUCUGAAGCUUCGGCCGUGGGAGGGGACAGGCGUGCGUUCAGCCAAGAGCGAGGUGUCGCUUAUUGACUUCACCGAUGACAGUUUCAGCUCUACCACACCUUCUCCGCUCACUGAGUCUCGGCAGCUGGAUGAGGACACCCUAAAGGACACUCCCUCCAUUCUGGACUGGCCUCUCCCCCAGCCAGCGUACGAUGAAGUUACUGCAGAGGCUGAGGAUCAAUCAGAGGACCAGGAAGUGCGGUCCAUAUACAAAGGGUUGACUGAAGAAGCUUCUUCAUCCGCUGGUGGUGGCUUGACAGGAAGGAGCGAAUCCCAGUCAGCUGACCUCUUCCAGGAGCUACAGAGGGAGGUGAUGGUGAAGCUGCAGGUUCCAAUGGCAACAGGCCGCUCCCUCCCCUCUUCCCCACUCCCCAUGCCUCUGGCUCCUUUGGGCCCGCACCGACAGAUCCAUCUUCCCCCUCCAUCUCCCUCGUCUGCCUCCUCCUUUGCCUCCUGCUUUGAGGACAGGCCUGUGCUGCCUCCUCGCAGUCCCGUCCCUCCUCUGCGUCCCUCCAAACACAACCUCUCCGCCCGUGCCAUAAACCCAGAAGCACGCACCAGCUCCAUUUCACUGGGCAACGAAGAUGACACACCCCCUCAGAUCCCACCCAGAGACCACGCCUUUUCUCAGCCAGGCUCCCGCUCCUCGUCACCUGUAGCAUUGCCACCUCCUCCUCUCGCCGUCUCGCCCCGUCGGGCAUCGGGACUGCUGGGUCCACUCCUGUCCUCCAACUCUCCAUCGUCGUCUUCCUCUUUGCCUCAAGCUUCAUCCCAUUCCUCACGCUUAGGACUUCCUGGCUCAUCGUACUCCUCCACGUCCUUACUGGAUCCACUCGCCUUUCGUGAGGGGCGUGGCCUUUCCUCACUGAUUGACAGUUCGCAGAGCUCUGCCCCCGUCCCACUGCCGGAGAGACCAGCUUUUCUGGAGAGAUACGGAGCAGCCAACAUGGCGGCAGUCAAACCUAUGAUGCAGCAGCACCCUAGUGGAGCCAAACCGAACACCUCCUACAACAACAAUAACGGCCGAGCUGCAGCUCCCAGCAUUCAACGGGAACAGAGCAUCACACAGGUCCAAGGAGCUGUGCACGGUGUCACGAUAGAGGAGUGUCAGGCUGCUCUGCAGAGCCACGAGUGGAGCAUCCCUCAGGCCAUAAACCAUUUAAAGGUGGAGCAGCUGUUUCGGCUAGGGCUGCGUUCAAGAGCCGAGUGCGAGGAGCUGCUGCAGCAUCACCAGUGGGACCUGGAACAUGCCAGCACGGUCAUGCUGGACACAUACGGACCACAUCGCAACAGGGGGCAGUGUCAAAAGUAUGUGGAACCGCUGAAUGUGGGAGCUUUUUGGAGCCAGAGUUGACUACACUGCAAAAAUUAAAAAAGAAAAAAGGAAAAAAUAACAGCACAAACGUGGUCAAGAGGAGGUCAGCAAGUCAUAUUCUGCUGUGGUGACAGCUAACAGAAAACCAGCAGCCUCGUAAAAAUCCAUCUGUCAUUCAUGCAUCCCCAAUAAAAAUGAAGUGAGAGCAGGAGGACAAAUUGAGCGGCAGUCACCUUCUGACAAGCUCCCGAGCUCAUCUGGAUCAGCGCGCUGACACAGAGUCGGCAGGAUGACUCAUUGCUCCAAAGACCAGAGACGCUUUUUAAUGACCAUUAAAAAGCGUCUCUGAAGCAGCAUGUGUGAAUACCUGCUACUACCUGUGUCACUCGCAUGUUCACUAUAACCUAAAGGAGCAGCUGUUACAUGAUUCACAAUAUUUACUUGAACAGUUGUUAUUUAUCUUUUUUUUUUGGUUGUUCUUUUUUUUUUAUCAUUGCAUUAAUCCAGAGUUUGUUUCAGCUGGUAGCUGCUGCAGACGUUUUCUGGUUGUGAGGUUGUUGUAGAGGCCUGUGUGUGUGUGUGUCUGCGUGCGUGUGUGUGCAUAAGCUUACUGUAAUGUCAAAUGGCUUUUUGCUGUCAAAAAGAAUCAGGGAGGUAUGAGCUGGCGUAUAGUUGCACUUUUAGGAAAAAUAUACAAUUAAUGUUGUAUAAAACAUUUUACCGAGCAUGUCAACAAAGAUGCUAACUGCUGGUCAGAAGAACAAUCUAUCAGUGAAGUGAAAAUGUUGAUAUGACUGAAGGCAUAUCAGAUAUUAUUAUUAUUACUGUAUUUUUGUGUCUUAAAGGUUCCACGUGGAGUUUUCAUGUAAAAAGGCAUUCAAAAGUCUUGAAACCUGCAUUCUUCACAUCCCAGCAUGUCGUCGUCUUUCCUGCCGUCGCUGGCAAAUUGCAAUGUGAAUCGUAAAAACUGCUUCAUAGUGCUUUGAGAGUUCAAGAACUCCACAGGUUGCCUUUAAGCAAAACAUUUCUGGCUUUACAACAGUAGGAAUUCUGAGUGAUGUCUUUAGUUUUUAUUAUAGGAAUAUUCCUACCUUUUCCUCGUGGAUACAGGGUAUUAGUCAAAUCUCUGCACAUUAGAUAUCUACUGCUACUUUAAACUCAUGGUUAUUAUAUCUUACUGUGAUUCUGCUGUAUGAUAAUCAUCAUGCUGAAGAACCUGUCAUGCACUUGAUUUAGUGGGCUACUGCUACGUGCUGUCGAUGCCAAAUUUCAUAAUGCGUGUGCAGAUAUUAAAAAUUUUAACAGCUACAUGGAAAAGUUUCUUUUUUUUUUUUUUACAAAAAAACAAACAACAAAACUGGAAAGUUAAACUUCAGACAGGUGGUAGCAGCUUGGUGAAUAUGUUUAUAGCAGUCAUAACUCAGUAUGUGUGAAGCAUUCAGUUAAGCUCAACUAUGAAAUCUGUUUAAUGUGACACUGACUAUAAUGUACUGUUUAAUCUGAGUUGCUUACAAAUGUAAAAUGCAAAUAUGGCCUUCGUUGUUUUAUAAUAAACUGUAAUCUCAUUUC